GGGGUAUUAGUCCAAUAAAGACAGUUGAUUUCGGCUCAACCAAUUAUGGUUUAAACCCAUAAUACCCCU
rnacentral:tRNA from 1 species